rnacentral:lncRNA from 1 species
AAAGUCUUAGGAAAUGGUAUGAGCAACAAAUGAACCACAUAGUUCUUUUCUAUUGUUGUAUGGCUUGAUAGGUAUAAGUAAAGUACCUUUGUUGUUGCUUGAUUCCUUGCAAUACAUCAACUGUAAACUAUGUGUUGAACCAAAGUUGCAAAGUUUUGCUGCUAUUCUUGCUACUUAAUCUUCGUUUCUGUGUCUGUUCAGAAGGAAGCCCAUGACUUGAACUGAAAAGGUAACGUUACAAAAGAAUUAGUACAAGGCCGAAAGCAACAGGAAGGGUCUCCAACUGAAGAGAAUAGAAAAAAAAAAUCCAGAGGAGACCAUGGCAGAUAACAGAGAGGUUCAAAGCCUUUGCAUUGCUCUAUCUCAAAGACCCCGAACCAUCCUCAGUUCCAUUUAAAACGUGCUUAAUAGAAAGGUAAUGUUUCAGUAAAAAAUAAAAACUAACGUUAAAGCUUGGGUUACAGUACGAUUACGUCUUGAUGCAAACUUGCAAAGUGAGAGUCUGCUUCCUUGAUAAAAACAAAUUCCUGAAGACUUGGUGGUUUGUUGUUUUUCUACAAUAUUGCUUUGAGUUCUUGCUAAACUAUAGCUGUGUAAUGUAAUGAUGUAGCUAAGUUUCAGAUUCUGUGGUUCAUUAGUAUGCAGAGAUAUAAGCGUGAUAUUUACCAAUUUUCUAGCUCUCAUAAUGGGUUCCAUGUUCAAGUUUACUAGUGUUUCAGUAAAGCCUAAGUGGAAUCUUGAUAAUCUCUGAAUAGAGAAUUUUGAUUUUUUUAAAAAAGGAUUUAAAAUUCUGCUAAGUACUUAAGUACCAUGCCGAACUGGUACAUGCUAUUUGUAUUUUACUUAUGAUCUUUGUCAAUUUCUAAGAUUCUAAUCAUGGAUACGACUUGUCUAGGCCACGUGUGAUUCAUAAUGGUGACUGGUGGGCGUCUUCUAUGGCUGCAGCACUCUUGGAAUUCAACUUGGUAAUUGGUGUGAAUCAUCAAAUAUAUUGUUACAUGGUUCCGAAGUUCUAGGACGGUGUUGCAUAAUUGCAGCAUAUUGUUAUUAUAUUAAUCAUUCUAAGAUGAUGUUUUCGCUUCAAUAUACCAUGUAAGGUAUUCAAUUUUGUGACAUAGCCGUGAAAGUUUCUACCUAUCCAUCAUUUCUCAAUGAAACGUAUGUAAUGUAUAUUUUGAACUCAUCAUAUGGGAUUCUGAA